UGGGGAAUAUUGGACAAUGGACCAAGAGUCUGACCCAGCAAUUCUGUGUGCACGAUGAAGUUUUUGGGAAUGUAAAGUGCUUUCAGUUGGGAAGAAAAAAAUGACGGUACCAACAGAAGAAGUGACGGCUAAAUACGUGCCAGCAGCCGCGGUAAUACGUAUGUCACGAGCGUUAUCCGGAUUUAUUGGGCAUAAAGCGCGUCUAGGUGGUUAUAUAAGUCUGAUGUGAAAAUGCAGGGCUCAACUCUGUAUUGCGUUGGAAACUGUAUAACUAGAGUACUGGAGAGGUAAGCGGAACUACAAGUGUAGAGGUGAAAUUCGUAGAUAUUUGUAGGAAUGCCGAUGGGGAAGCCAGCUUACUGGACAGAUACUGACGCUGAAGCGCGAAAGCGUGGGUAGCAAACAGGAUUAGAUACCCUGGUAGUCCACGCCGUAAACGAUGAUUACUAGGUGUUGGGGGUCAAACCUCAGCGCCCAAGCAAAUGCGAUAAGUAAUCCGCCUGGGGAGUACGUACGCAAGUAUG
rnacentral:rRNA from 1 species